UCCACAGCACCCCUGGGCCUGGAGCGGCAGAAGUCCAGGCGGGCUAAGGCGGCUGAGCAAGGCUCGCUUUGCCCGGCAGGAAUGCAGCAAUGGCUGUGGUCUGGGGAGUUCUUGUUCCCUACCCACCGGAUAGAUGCCAGAAGACCCAAGUGAGGAAAAACUGCUGUGCACCUCUGGGCUCCAUCCUAAUGCAGGCGGGGACAGUUGGUUCCAGAUCCACAGGAUGGGCCCUGCUGCUGGCUUCUUGUUCUGGCCACAUCUCGAAGAGCCUGAUACAUGUCAAACAGAGGAUCUGUCAGCUUUUUUGACCCCAGAAGAUUGCUUGGCCGCUAGAUGGCUCAGUACAAAGCAUGCUGGGCCUGGAGUCAGUAACUGCGUUUGAAUCCUGAUUCACUCAGUAGCCAUGUGACCCUACAGAAGUCAUUUAACCCCUUUCAGCCUCAGUUUCCUCGGGGAUAAUUGCACCCACCUCCUAAGGCUGCUGUGAGGACCAAGGGAGACAAUGCAUGCAGAGGAGGACCUUAAGGCUCUCUAGAAAUCCCAGACAUCGUCAGCGUGCAUCCUUAUGCUCAGUGAGGCACCUUCUUCCCCUGCUUCUCUGUGCUAACUCCAGCAUUUGCCAAGGCUUCCACAUCUCUAUGAGGUGCCACCGGGCCUGGACCAGCACAGGGAAGCUUCCUAGAUGCUUGGGCGGGACUAUCUACAUUCAUGCAAACGGAAAGAGUCCGAGCGACGGGCUGGCUCAAGUCGUGGUCCGCAUGUAGGUUAUUUUCUUCCAGCCUAUCUUCGGCUAAGUCUGCUCCAGCGGCUACCACUGCCAUCAUUCACGAAGAAGACGAGAUGGAACGCGUGUGUGCGUGCGUGCUGGGAGAUUGGGGCACAUCGUCCUGGGGACUGCAGCUUAAAAGACUGGGUCCUACCGUGGGAUGGAGCUUUGGCCCGAGGGUCGGCCAGUCGGGCAACAGCUAAGGGGUGGGCCCUGUGCUGAGUGAUGGGAACACAAAGAAAGACAAAAAUUCCCGAGUCCAAAUCCAGUCCCUGCCAUCUAAGACUGUACAUUCUAAUGGUGAGAAACGUGUCCAUGCAUAGGUCUGUUCAAACUCCACGCAGAGUAGGGGGGACACCCAUGGAGGGAAGACACUAGCAUUGGGGAAGGGGGAGACCAGGAAAAUCCUGCUGAAGGUGGGCUUUGAGCUGAAGCUUGAAGGAAGCCAGGGUAACCAAGACACAGAGAGGAGGAAGAGCAUCCAGGGACAGGGAACAGCAAAUGCAAAGGCGCAGAGAUGGGAGAUGUGAGGGAAAGCUGGCAAGUCAGUGGCUCUCGAUCACAGAGUGUAUGGAGUGGACCUAGACGGGAGGCAGCUGGGAGGGCAGGAGAGGAUUUUGUAUUUAUUUCAGGAGGUGAUAGGGAGCUGCUGGAGUUUA